ACUCAAAUGAAUUGACGGGGACCCGCACAAGCGGUGGAGCAUGUGGUUUAAUUCGACGGUAAGCGAGGAACCUUACCAAGGCUUGACAUGUAGCUGCAAGCGCACGGAAACGUGUGACCUUCGAGGGUGCUACACAGGUGCUGCACGGUUGUCGUCAGCUCGUGUCGUGAGAUGUUCCCUUAAGUGGGAGAACGAGCGCAACCCCCGUAGUAUGUUGAUUUUCAUACUAGACUGCCAGCGUUUAAGCUGGAGGAAGGUGGGGAUGACGUCAAAUCAGCGUGGCUCUUACGCCUUGGGCGACACACGUGCUACAAUGCAUAGGAACAAAGGGACGCAACAUCGCAAGAUAGAGCAAAUCCUCUCAAAAACUAUGCUCAGUUCAGAUUGUGGGCUGCAACUCGCCCGCAUGAAGCUGGAAUCGCUAGUAACCGUGAAUCAGCCUCGUCACGGUGAAUACGUUCUCGGGUUUUGCACACACCGCCCGU
rnacentral:rRNA from 1 species